AUGGAAUUGCAGAUGUGCUCUUCUUCCUCCUCCUCGCAGCACGCACGGGUGGCUGCUUGGGUGCUCCUACCGCUGCUUUGCUUUUCCAUGGUGUUAUCCACAGCACACGGAGGAGAGUCUCGCAAGGUUUAUGUAGCUUACCUAGGCGACGUUAAGCACGGGCACCCGGACGAGGUCGUCGCCUCGCACCAUGACAUGCUCACCACUCUUCUCCAAAGCAAGGAGGAUGCUUCGGCCUCCAUGGUCUACAACUACAAGCAUGGUUUCUCGGGCUUUGCCGCCAUGCUCACCGCGGACCAAGCAACAAGGCUUGCAGAGUUUUCGGGAGUCAUCAGUGUUGAACCGAGCAAAACAUACAGGACCACCACCACACGGAGCUGGGACUUUCUUGGACUCAACUACCCGUCCUCCCAUACGCCGGCCAGUGAGCUACUCCAGGCAAGCAACUACGGAGAGGAUAUAAUCAUCGGUGUGGUUGACACUGGGAUCUGGCCGGAGUCGAGAAGCUUCAGCGACCAAGGGUACGGGCCCGUGCCAUCAAGGUGGAAAGGAAAAUGCCAGGUUGGGCCAGACUGGGGCAGCAACAACUGCAGCCGAAAGAUCAUUGGCGCACGGUUCUACACCGCCGGGGUCCCCAAAGAAUACUUCGAAGGGGCACCACUCUCGCCACGGGACCAUGCCGGCCACGGCACACACACGGCCUCCACCGCGGCUGGCUCGGCUGUGGGGCAGGAAGCUGCCAGCUUCCAUGGCAUUGCCGCGGGGGUCGCACGGGGAGGCGCGCCACACGCUCGCAUCGCAGUGUACAAGUCCUGCUGGAGCAAGGAGGGCCACUGCCCCACGCCGGCCGUGCUAGCCGCCAUCGACGACGCCAUCCAUGACGGGGUGGACGUUCUGUCAUUGUCCCUGGAAAUGAGCGAGAACUCAUACGGUACACUACAUGCGGUCCUGAAGGGGAUCGUCAUGGUGCACACCGCUGGCAACGCUGGGCCGCAUAUGCAGACCAUCAGGGACACCUCGCCGUGGGCCAUCACCGUCGCGGCAACCAACAUCGAUCGCUCGUUCGAUACAGUGAUCACGUUGGGAAACAAGCAACAAAUAGUGGGACAAUCUCUCUAUUACCAAGGGAAGAAGGACUCAUCAUCCAGGAGCAGUUUCGGAAAUUUUGCAUGUUUACGAUCUUGUACCGCAGAGGUUUUUGACGGCGCCCAAGACCUGAAAGGGUUGAUCCUCCUCUGCAACGAUCAAACGGGAGCUUUAUUCCCGGCGGCGCAAUACCUCAUGGAUGGAGGAGGAACCGGACUCAUCAUCGUGUCAUCCACGACGGACGACAUGAGACCCGUGACAGAUUGCGAAGGCAUCGCCUGUGUAGUUGUCAACAUCGAAGACGCGGAGAGGAUGUGCCAAUACUAUGAGGACACAAGCUCUGCCCAGGCAAAGAUUGAACCGGCGGGCACCGUUACGGGCAAGGAGAUACUGGCCCCAAAAGUGGCGAUCUUCUCCUCCAGAGGCCCAUCUGUUACUUACCCCGCCAUUCUCAAGCCUGACAUAGCUGCACCUGGAGCCAACAUCCUGGCAGCAAAACAAGAUGGCUACGUAUUUAAGUCAGGGACGUCCAUGGCAGCCCCUCAUGUAGCGGGCAUCGCAGCGCUACUCAAAGUUUUGCACCCAUACUGGUCUCCUGCGGCAAUAAAAUCUGCCAUGGUUACCACUGCCCAUGUAACCGAUGAACGUGGCAUGCCGAUAAUGGCGGAAGGAUAUUCGCGGAAGAUCGCCGACCCAUUCGACUACGGAGGCGGGACCAUCAAUCCUUGCGGGGCGGCUCAUCCCGGCCUCAUAUAUGACAUCGAUCCAAGUGAUUACAGCAAAUUCUUCAAAUGCACCAUCAGCAACAAGAGGACACCCGUGGAUUGCAACACCACCACCAUGCAACCAGCGUAUUACUUGAACCUGCCAUCCAUAUCGGUUCCCGAUCUCAGGCAUCCCAUCACCGUUUCCAGGACUGUGACCAAUGUCGGCGAGGUCAAUUUUGUGUACCAUGCCGCAGUCCAGAGCCCAACAGGAGUCAAGAUGGAGGUCGUCCCGCCCGUUCUUGUGUUCGACGCUACCAACAAAGUUCAGACGUAUCAGGUGAAGCUAUCACCUAUGUGGAAGUUGCACGGGUACUACACAUUUGGUAGCCUUACCUGGCAUAACGACCAAAAGACAGUGAGGAUUCCAAUUGUGACACGACUUACAAUUGAAGAAUUCUACUGA
rnacentral:rRNA from 1 species